rnacentral:misc_RNA from 1 species
AACUGUUCCUCUGAUUGAGCGUAGAUUGUACAAUCAAUGAAGAUUCACACAUUUUAUUCUAUAAACAAUAUGUACGUGAAUAUCAAAUAUUUUGAGUUGUUUUAUGUAUACUCCUUGCGUCUUUUCUAUCUAACAUUCAUGACUGUGGAAAUCUUCGUGCGCGGAUCUAGAGAGGGGUGGGGAAAACUCAAACUCCCCCUGUAAAUUUCAAAUAAAUGAAAUUUACAUUGAGAAUAAUUAGCGAAAUAGGCCCCUGACUGCCCCCUCCUCCCCCGGCCAAAACAAUUAUCCCCCCCCCCCCCCCCGGAAAAAUAUGUCUAGAUCUGCGCAUGAUCUAUAUAAAUUUUCGACUAUGAGAAUUGUUUUGAUUAGAAAUGUACUGAUAUAAUAAUGACAUUUCUGCCAUGAUGAUAUUGUAAAACAUGUUGUGAAGUGUAAUCGAGAGAAUACUGUUAACCGUUUAUACAUUGAUCUUUUAAUGUGUGCUUUUUGAAUAUUUGUAAAUACUGUUAUAUUGAGUGGUGCUCUGUUAAAGCAAUUUAAUAUUUUGAAGAUAGAGUGUGUGUAUAUUUGUGUGUUAUAAAUGUCACUUCUUUGUCAUUUCGUUUUAUUUUGUGUAGAUACUUUUUUUUACCAAUAUCCUAAUGAGACAAUACAAGCGAGAAACUGCAAUCACAAUUAUGAAACGAUGCCAAGUAAAACUAGGCUCGGGCAAUAGAGGUUUUACGAUUACUGGUCAUCUAUAGAAUUUUUAUUGACAUAACUUUUUUCUGAUUUAUUUGGCCUGUGUGUUUUUUUGAAUGUGUAUAAGAUGCCAAUAGUAUAUUGUGUUCAAAAUAAAUAAUAAAUACAAUAUACAAUAAAAUUGAAAAAAAAGAAGCGGGUCCUUUUAAAUGUUUGAGUUUACACAUGUAUUACACGUGUAUUUGUUUUUGUUAAUAAACGAAUAUAUGGAAUUUUGUCAUAAAUUUUGAAAUAAAAUCAUAAAAAU